rnacentral:rRNA from 1 species
GAUGAACGCUGGCGGCGUGCCUAAUACAUGCAAGUCGAGCGAACGGACGACAAGCUUGCUUCUCUGAUGUUAGCGGCGGACGGGUGAGUAACACGUGGAUAACCUACCUAUAAGACUGGGAUAACUUCGGGAAACCGGAGCUAAUACCGGAUAAUAUUUUGAACCGCAUGGUUCAAAAGUGAAAGACGGUCUUGCUGUCACUUAUAGAUGGAUCCGCGCUGCAUUAGCUAGUUGGUAAGGUAACGGCUUACCAAGGCAACGAUGCAUAGCCGACCUGAGAGGGUGAUCGGCCACACUGGAACUGAGACACGGUCCAGACUCCUACGGGAGGCAGCAGUAGGGAAUCUUCCGCAAUGGGCGAAAGCCUGACGGAGCAACGCCGCGUGAGUGAUGAGGGUCUUCGGAUCGUAAAACUCUGUUAUUAGGGAAGAACAUAUGUGUAAGUAACUGUGCACAUCUUGACGGUACCUAAUCAGAAAGCCACGGCUAACUACGUG